AGCUUUGCGCAGUGGCGAUAUCGUUACCAAUGAGGUUCUACCGAGGUGCGAUUAUUGCUAGUUGAAAUUCCCUCGUACCCAAGUACCCACCCAUGCCAACUUUGGUUUGAUUUGAUGUGGAAAAAAAUCAUGUU